GACGAACGCUGGCGGCGUGCUUAACACAUGCAAGUCGAACGAUGAAGCUCUAGCUUGCUGGGGUGGAUUAGUGGCGAACGGGUGAGUAACACGUGAGUAACCUGCCCUUUACUUCGGGAUAAGCUUGGGAAACUGGGUCUAAUACCGGAUAUUCUGCGUGAUCGGAUGGUUGUGUAGGAAAGAUUUUUUGGUAAGGGAUGGGCUCGCGGCCUAUCAAUUUGUUGGUGGGGUGAUGGCCUACCAGGACGACGACGGGUAGCCGGCCUGAGAGGGCGACCGGCCACACUGGGACUGAGACACGGCCCAGACUCCUACGGGAGGCAGCAGUGGGGAAUAUUGCACAAUGGGGGAAACCCUGAUGCAGCGACGCCGCGUGGGGGAUGACGGCCUUCGGGUUGUAAACCUCUUUCAGUAGGGAAGAAGCGAAAGUGACGGUACCUGCAGAAGAAGUACCGGCUAACUACGUGCCAGCAGCCGCGGUAAUACGUAGGGUACUAGCGUUGUCCGGAAUUAUUGGGCGUAAAGAGCUCGUAGGUGGUUUGUCGCGUCUGCUGUGGAAACGUGCCGCUUAACGGUGCGCGUGCAGUGGGUACGGGCGGACUAGAGUGCAGUAGGGGAGUCUGGAAUUCCUGGUGUAGCGGUGAAAUGCGCAGAUAUCAGGAGGAACACCGGUGGCGAAGGCGGGACUCUGGGCUGUUACUGACGCUGAGGAGCGAAAGCAUGGGGAGCGAACAGGAUUAGAUACCCUGGUAGUCCAUGCCGUAAACGUUGGGCACUAGGUGUGGGGUCCAUUCCACGGAUUCUGCGCCGUAGCUAACGCAUUAAGUGCCCCGCCUGGGGAGUACGGCCGCAAGGCUAAAACUCAAAGGAAUUGACGGGGGCCCGCGCAAGCGGCGGAGCAUGCGGAUUAAUUCGAUGCAACGCGAAGAACCUUACCAAGGCUUGACAUGCACUAGACCAUCGCAGAGAUGUGGUUUUCUUUUUGACUGGUGUACAGGUGGUGCAUGGUUGUCGUCAGCUCGUGUCGUGAGAUGUUGGGUUAAGUCCCGCAACGAGCGCAACCCUCGUUCUAUGUUGCCAGCACGUGAUGGUGGGAACUCAUGGGAGACUGCCGGGGUCAACUCGGAGGAAGGUGGGGAUGACGUCAAAUCAUCAUGCCCUUAUGUCUUGGGCUUCACGCAUGCUACAAUGGCCGGUACAGAGGGUGGCGAUACCGUGAGGUGGAGCGAAUCUCUUAAAGCCGGUCUCAGUUCGGAUCGUAGUCUGCAACUCGACUACGUGAAGUCGGAGUCGCUAGUAAUCGCAGAUCAGCAAUGCUGCGGUGAAUACGUUCCCGGGCCU
rnacentral:rRNA from 1 species